UUGAUGAUGAUGAUGAUG
rnacentral:snRNA from 1 species